rnacentral:sRNA from 1 species
AUUCAACAGAUACUGAGUGUCUGCCCAGAGGGCUUAUGUGCUCAAUGCUAGGGAUCAGCACUGAACAUGGAGUGGUUGGAGUCUCAAUUCCAAUACCUUAUACAAAGAGCUGUUUACUGCCUAUGAACCUAUCAUAAGCUGUAUUUUUCUCCGGUAAGUAUUGUGUUUAUUUGCUUCUAUUUCCAGGCCAACACAUAUGAAAAGUACUGGCCAUUUUACCAGAAGCAUGGAGGGCAUUAUUUUCCCAAAGAUCAUUUGAAAAAGGCUGUUGCUGAAAUUGAAGAAAUGUGCAAUAUUUUAAAAACGGAAGGAGUGACAGUAAGGAGGCCUGACCCCAUUGACUGGUCAUUGAAGUAUAAAACUCCUGAUUUUGAGUCUACGGGUUUAUACAGUGCAAUGCCUCGAGACAUCCUGAUAGUUGUGGGCAAUGAGAUUAUCGAGGCUCCCAUGGCAUGGCGUUCACGCUUCUUUGAGUACCGAGCGUACAGGUCAAUUAUCAAAGACUACUUCCACCGUGGCGCCAAGUGGACAACAGCUCCUAAGCCCACAAUGGCUGAUGAGCUUUAUAACCAGGAUUAUCCCAUCCACUCUGUAGAAGACAGACACAAAUUGGCUGCUCAGGGAAAAUUUGUGACAACUGAGUUUGAGCCAUGCUUUGAUGCUGCUGACUUCAUUCGAGCUGGAAGAGAUAUUUUUGCACAGAGAAGCCAGGUUACAAACUACCUAGGCAUUGAAUGGAUGCGUAGGCAUCUUGCUCCAGACUACAGAGUACAUAUCAUCUCCUUUAAAGAUCCCAAUCCCAUGCAUAUUGAUGCUACCUUCAACAUCAUUGGACCUGGUAUUGUGCUUUCCAACCCUGACCGACCAUGUCACCAGAUUGAUCUUUUCAAGAAAGCAGGAUGGACUAUCAUUA